rnacentral:lncRNA from 1 species
UGAACAUGCACUUCCGGGGCGAGGUUAAUCAGCGCCGGGAAGGUGAACUCGCGGGCUGCUUGUCCGAUGAGGCGCAACCUCUUGUGAGAGACCCUUCACUGCCUAAUUUUAUGCUCUCGCCUGCACUUUGUAGCUGGGUCACUGCGGAGGCCCAGCUCCGCCUCUGACAGUCUUUAUCUGGUGCUACCAAAGGCUGGACCAGAACUUGACUCCUCUUGAACUGUGUUGUCUUUCGGGCUCUGACUGGAUGGUUUCCAGUUCCGGGCGUACUCUUGUGCUGAUACCUCGAAUCACAGCAAGAAAUUCUGAAAGCAGCGCUUUGUUAUUCCUUGAAACACUGGGUCAUCCGCUUGGCUUCUCUAACUGCUCUGUAAUCUUCUCUUUCCUAUGAUAGAAUGACAUCCCAGUCCCUCUGUCGCAUAAUCAGCAGGCACGAUUACCCCAAGUCCAGACAACCGUCGGAUACCUCCAGAAGUUUCCCUGCUUUCUCUCCUGCCGCUGAUCAUUUUCUUUUUUGGGAGUGGGGGUGGGAGUUGAACCCAGGGCUUCCAUGAUAGCUAAACAGUCUCUUCCACUGAGCAACAUUUAACAGCCUCUGCGAUCUUUUCCAAUCGUAAAAUUGCUUGACUUCUCUGCUGGAAGUGUUCGCUUUUGCUUACCCACUGUACUUAAAUACUGUCAAACUCCUUACCGUGACCUCAUAGACUUUCCCGUCUCAAACUCGCCUUUUGUCACCAGCUAAUGCUAUGGAGGAUUCUCAGAUUAAAGGUACCUUUUAUGAGAAUCCUAACCACACUACUUGAAAUAGGACUCACCCUUAUUCUCUAGUAUAGAACUAUUUUCUUUUAUAAUACUUAACAUGGUUCCCCAUAAACGAUUUGUUUAUGAUCUGUCCUCUGUACUCAUGUCUUUUCUUCAUUCUGAUACACUCAAGACGCAGCUAACUCAGUAAAUAUUUAUUAAAUGCUUAUAAUCCCGCCUCAGGUGUGCAUUAGUUUCAUGGGAUGUGGUAUUAUGGAACGAGCCAGCAGAGGGAGAAUAAAUGAAGUAAAUCUUCAAAAAGCAAUGGUGUAACUCAGUAGUACAGAAAGAAUGUAGAGAAAAAUAUUGUACGUUUGAUUAGUCUUCCAGAAACAUUCCUAGGAGAAUAAGGCUGGGAACCCAGGUGAUUUAACUCUGAAGCCCACACUUCUAAUCAGUUCCCUGAAGGAAAUACCAUUUAUUGUUUAUUACAUUGAACCUCUGUACUGUGUUCUUCAAUGAAAAAAAAA